GGUGAACGCUGGCGGCGUGCCUAAUACAUGCAAGUCGAGCGAACAGACGAGGAGCUUGCUCCUCUGACGUUAGCGGCGGACGGGUGAGUAACACGUGGAUAACCUACCUAUAAGACUGGGAUAACUUCGGGAAACCGGAGCUAAUACCGGAUAAUAUAUUGAACCGCAUGGUUCAAUAGUGAAAGACGGUUUUGCUGUCACUUAUAGAUGGAUCCGCGCCGCAUUAGCUAGUUGGUAAGGUAACGGCUUACCAAGGCAACGAUGCGUAGCCGACCUGAGAGGGUGAUCGGCCACACUGGAACUGAGACACGGUCCAGACUCCUACGGGAGGCAGCAGUAGGGAAUCUUCCGCAAUGGGCGAAAGCCUGACGGAGCAACGCCGCGUGAGUGAUGAAGGUCUUCGGAUCGUAAAACUCUGUUAUUAGUGAAGAACAAAUGUGUAAGUAACUAUGCACGUCUUGACGGUACCUAAUCAGAAAGCCACGGCUAACUACGUG
rnacentral:rRNA from 1 species